AUUCACCACUCACCAUGCACAAAGCAUUUUAGAAGCGUGUGUGGAAUAUUUUACAGCACACUUUGAGAAACAGCAUGUGAUAGAGGAGGAAAAGAUUGAAUCAUAAACAACAUGCAAGUGGAGCCAGAAUUAAGAAGACUGUGUUCCAGAGGGCACAUUUCGAAAACAGGAGUAGGACAAUUUGAAAUAGCAAGCCAUGUGCAAGCACUAAUAGUUCUUGCAAACGGUGAUUCUUCAUCAGGAAAAUGUCAGAGACCAUUUGGGUACAGGAUGUUGGAGGGAGAUGAGAGAAGUUCUGCUUCCCAAUAUUUAUGUCUCUGUUGGAACUAAAGUGACAGCUGCAGUAAGCCAAAGUAAAGAAAGGAGCUGUGAGACUCCCUUUGAAGAAUGUAAAAUCUCCAUUUUCUAUACAAUAGUAGAAAGUAAGAGGAGGAAGUUAUGUGCUGUGGAAAAUCAAGGCUUUAAGGGAAUUGAUCCAAAAACACUGCUUUGAAUCUACUUGAUAUGUAGAGCUGGUUGGAGCAUUUUUGAUUAAACAGUUCUCUGAUGGAAUACAGUGUUUCAUCAAAAUGGAAAUGUUUGGGGGAACCAGGUAGGUUUCAAUGACAUUUUCAUUGCAGGGAGAGAAAGAGAUCUCCCACAUCCCAGGCUUAUGCAUU